rnacentral:rRNA from 1 species
AUUGAACGCUGGCGGCAUGCUUUACACAUGCAAGUCGAACGGUAACAGCACUUCGGUGGCUGACGAGUGGCGAACGGGUGAGUAAUACAUCGGAACGUGCCUAGUAGUGGGGGAUAACUACUCGAAAGAGUAGCUAAUACCGCAUGAGAUCUAAGGAUGAAAGCAGGGGACCUUCGGGCCUUGCGCUACUAGAGCGGCUGAUGGCAGAUUAGGUAGUUGGUGGGAUAAAAGCUUACCAAGCCGACGAUCUGUAGCUGGUCUGAGAGGACGACCAGCCACACUGGGACUGAGACACGGCCCAGACUCCUACGGGAGGCAGCAGUGGGGAAUUUUGGACAAUGGGCGCAAGCCUGAUCCAGCAAUGCCGCGUGCAGGAUGAAGGCCUUCGGGUUGUAAACUGCUUUUGUACGGAACGAAAAGCCCUCCUCUAAUACAGGAGGGUCAUGACGGUACCGUAAGAAUAAGCACCGGCUAACUACGUG